UAGGCCUCCUCACAGAGCUGCUUGACAAACGUGACACGAAGUUGCUUGGGGAAAAGGGAAGGUGCAGAGGAAGACAGAGUCACACAUGCAGCCUGUGUUCAUCUUUUGAACCGUGCUGAUAAUCUGAAAGAAUGGUUGGGAAGUGGUAAAAGGAGAGCCAUGAGUGGCUGAAAUCAAGGCAGUUGAGGACAAUUUCACUCCAAAAGCAGACCAUCAUCAUGCCGAAUCCCAAGAGGAAAUCAUGAUUGGAAUACAAUUACUGCCAGUGAUCCACGCCUUUGCCUCUGCAGACCUGGGUAAGUAAUGCUUGAUCCAUGAUGAGUCUGACUACUUUUUGAGAAACUGCCCUUUGCAUGUAGGGUGUUCUUGUACUGGAAGAUAUACUACAUGGUAGCUACAAUAAUAGUUGUUGUUCAAGAGUGAAUCCCCAAUGGAAAUUUAGGCUGGUCUUGUUUCCCUGUUCUUUUCCUUCCCCUGAAAGCAUUGCUGGUGUUGAAGCUCUGUAGAGCAUGGCUGCUGUAUGACCCCUCAGCACCUCUGCUUCCUGUGUUCAUUGUCGCUCCUUCAUAGCUGAGCUCAGUACAGGUUCAUCAGCCUGAGUUGCCUCAGAAAAGCUCAGCUGUACCUCCUAAAAUCAAGCCAUAAAAUUGAGCCCAUACCAAAUGCUGUGCCUUUCACAUCUGAAUGAAGAAGGGACUUCAAAGUCAGUGGGACCACUCAGAAAUGCUAAAGCUCAGCAUAUGGGGUCAGCAUUUUUAGUAUUUCCCCCCUUUGAAAAUGUCUCUGCUGAUUUAUGUUUUGAAACACUGUGAAAAAGAAGCUCCCCCCACACCCAGAGCCAUACACCAAAAUAUUUUGAAUAGCAAGGGCAGCAGAACAAGUCAGUCAUGCUACUCUUGCACUACACAGACAUCUGUGAAAAUUUCACGCUUCCAUGAGCAGAUUCUCCAAAGGGCUGAAUUUGGCUGUAAGUCUCUCAGAGAAUGAUUCCAUUCCUCCUGUGCUUUUUUGGAGGUAUGUUUUUAAUUGUCCUUGGCAUAAAAAUAUUGAAAGACACAAAUUAAAUAAAAUGUCUAAACAACAGGAGGGGGCAGGCUUAAACUGACAAAAAGCAAGAAAAUCAGACUAGCUGCAAACCUGGAAAUGCUGUUCUCAAUUCCUAGCAUGUGCAGGAAAUGCAGCGCAUAUGGCAAAUGGAAUCACCUGGAGCUAGGCCUCUUUGUUACACCUUGGCACAGGAGAGCAGGAACAAAGAAGAGAUGCAGAUUUUAACCCUCAGUUUUCUGUUGUCUGGUAAGGAUCAGUUUAAUCCUAUCCUUAUACAUGGUUUCCAGAUCACGAAUACCAGAUGUUAAAAAUAGGCUCGUUGCUAAAUAUCCCUGCUGUACUUAAAUGUGGAUAACAGUGCCUUUUUGCUGAUUAAAAACUUUCAGCAUCAUUCUUUCUAAUGUUUAAGAAGAAAUACAUAUGAAUGUAAUUGUACCUUCUGGAAAAGUUGAAUUUGGUUAUAACAACACUUUAUUUAUGAUGCUCUUUGCAAAAGCUGUUUUUGGUAUUCUGCUAAGUAAGCCUCUUGGUGUGUCUUAAAAUCGCUAAUGAAUCAGACUUUAGAUGAAGACGGUGCAGGUGUGGCAGCAUAUCAUUAUACAGGGGAGGAGAGUGAAGUGUGAGGAUGUAAAUAUUUACUACAUCUUACAUGAUGUUGAGGAAAAGAAAGUUCUAAGGACAG